rnacentral:rRNA from 1 species
CCCUUAGAUGUUCUGGGCAGCACGCGCGCUACAAUGGUCUUCGCAAACGGAUGCUUUCUCGAAGGAGAAUGCCAAUCUUGGAAUCUAUGCCUUGGUCGGGACAGUUGCUUGCAAUUUUUCGACUCGAACCAGGAAUUCCUUGUAAUCGUGAUUCAUCACAUCACGAUGAAUACGUCCCUGCCCUUUGUACACACCGCCCGUCGCUCCUACCGAUCGAAGAGUUAGGUGAAUUGUUUUGAUCGAUAAGAUUUGACUAUGGUCAACUCUCGUUGUGAAAUUCUGUGAAUCUGACUGUUUAGAGGAAGGAAAAGUCGUAACA